AAUAGAUACCCGGGUAGUCCACGCCGUAAACGAUGUCGACUUGGAGGUUGUGCCCUUGAGGCGUGGCUUCCGGAGCUAACGCGUUAAGUCGACCGCCUGGGGAGUACGGCCGCAAGGUUAAAACUCAAAUGAAUUGACGGGGGCCCGCACAAGCGGUGGAGCAUGUGGUUUAAUUCGAUGCAACGCGAAGAACCUUACCUACUCUUGACAUCCAGAGAACUUAGCAGAGAUGCUUUGGUGCCUUCGGGAACUCUGAGACAGGUGCUGCAUGGCUGUCGUCAGCUCGUGUUGUGAAAUGUUGGGUUAAGUCCCGCAACGAGCGCAACCCUUAUCCUUUGUUGCCAGCGGUUAGGCCGGGAACUCAAAGGAGACUGCCAGUGAUAAACUGGAGGAAGGUGGGGAUGACGUCAAGUCAUCAUGGCCCUUACGAGUAGGGCUACACACGUGCUACAAUGGCAUAUACAAAGAGAAGCGACCUCGCGAGAGCAAGCGGACCUCAUAAAGUAUGUCGUAGUCCGGA
rnacentral:rRNA from 1 species